GACGAACGCUGGCGGCGUGCUUAACACAUGCCAGUCGAACGGAAAGGCCCUGCUUUUGUGGGGUGCUCGAGUGGCGAACGGGUGAGUAACACGUGAGUAACCUGCCCUUGACUUUGGGAUAACUUCAGGAAACUGGGGCUAAUACCGGAUAGGAGCUCCUGCUGCAUGGUGGGGGUUGGAAAGUUUCGGCGGUUGGGGAUGGACUCGCGGCUUAUCAGCUUGUUGGUGGGGUAGUGGCUUACCAAGGCUUUGAUGGGUAGCCGGCCUGAGAGGGUGACCGGCCACAUUGGGACUGAGAUACGGCCCAGACUCCUACGGGAGGCAGCAGUGGGGAAUAUUGCACAAUGGGCGGAAGCCUGAUGCAGCAACGCCGCGUGCGGGAUGACGGCCUUCGGGUUGUAGACCGCUUUCGCCUGUGACGAAGCGUGAGUGACGGUAAUGGGUAAAGAAGCACCGGCUAACUACGUG
rnacentral:rRNA from 1 species